rnacentral:rRNA from 1 species
GGAUUAGAUACCCUGGUAGUCCACGCCGUAAACGGUGGGUGCUAGUUGUGGGCCACAUUCCACGUGGUCUGUGACGAAGUUAACACAUUAAGCACCCCGCCUGGGGAGUACGGUCGCAAGACUAAAACUCAAAGGAAUUGACGGGGGCCCGCACAAGCGGCGGAGCAUGCGGAUUAAUUCGAUGCAACGCGAAGAACCUUACCAAGACUUGACAUAUAGAGGAAAAGCGUAGAAAUACGCUCCCCGCAAGGUCUCUAUACAGGUGGUGCAUGGUUGUCGUCAGCUCGUGCCG